GUGCUCAGUUCAGCAGCAUAUAUACUAAUAAUGGAAUGAUACAGAGAAGAUUGGCAUGGCCCCUGCACAAGGAUGACACACUAAUUUGUGAAGCAUUCUAUAUUUUU
rnacentral:snRNA from 1 species